GUCGCAAGACCAAAGUGGGGGACCUUCGGGCCUCAUGCCAUCAGAUGUGCCCAGAUGGGAUUAGCUAGUAGGUGGGGUAACGGCUCACCUAGGCGACGAUCCCUAGCUGGUCUGAGAGGAUGACCAGCCACACUGGAACUGAGACACGGUCCAGACUCCUACGGGAGGCAGCAGUGGGGGAAUAUUGCACAAUGGGCGCAAGCCUGAUGCAGCCAUGCCGCGUGUGUGAAGAAGGCCUUCGGGUUGUAAAGCACUUUCAGCGGGGAGGAAGGCGAUAAGGUUAAUAACCUUGUCGAUUGACGUUACCCGCAGAAGAAGCACCGGCUAACUCCGUGCCAGCAGCCGCGGUAAUACGGAGGGUGCAAGCGUUAAUCGGAAUUACUGGGCGUAAAGCGCACGCAGGCGGUCUGUCAAGUCGGAUGUGAAAUCCCCGGGCUCAACCUGGGAACUGCAUUCGAAACUGGCAGGCUAGAGUCUUGUAGAGGGGGGUAGAAUUCCAGGUGUAGCGGUGAAAUGCGUAGAGAUCUGGAGGAAUACCGGUGGCGAAGGCGGCCCC
rnacentral:rRNA from 1 species